ACUUGGAUAUGGAUUCUUCACGGUAACGUAACUGAAUGUGGAGACGUCGGCGUGAGCCCUGGNAGGAGUUAUCUNUUCUUCUUAACAGCUUAUCACCCUGGAAUUGGUUUAUCNGGAGAUAGGGUNUUAUGGCUNGAAGAGCGCAACACCUNUGUUGCGUCCGGUGCNCUUACNACGGCCCUUNAAAAUCCACAGGAAGGAAUAGUUUUCAUGCCAAGNNGUACU
rnacentral:rRNA from 1 species